GACGAACCGUGCGAACGUUAUUCGGAAUCACUGGGCUUAAAGGGCGCGUAGGCGGGCCUCCAAGUCAGGGGUGAAAUCCCACGGCUCAACCGUGGAAGUGCCUCUGAUACUGGCGGCCUCGAGGGGUGCAGGGGCGUGCGGAACUCAGGGUGGAGCGGUGAAAUGCGUAGAUAUCCUGAGGAACACCGGUGGCGAAAGCGGCGCGCUGGACACCUUCUGACGCUGAGGCGCGAAAGCCAGGGGAGCAAAC
rnacentral:rRNA from 1 species